rnacentral:sRNA from 1 species
AGCAGCCGCGGUAAUUCCAGCUCCAAUAGCGUAUAUUAAAGUUGCUGCAGUUAAAAAGCUCGUAGUUGAAUUUCGGGACCAUCAUGUCGGUCGUGCCUCGGUACGUACUGGCAUUGUUGGUUUCUACCUUCUGACGAACCAUGAUGUCAUUUAUUUGGUGUCGUGGGGAAUCAGGACUGUUACUUUGAAAAAAUUAGAGUGUUUAAAGCAGGCUCACGCUUGAAUACAUUAGCAUGGAAUAAUGAAAUAGGACGUUUGAUUCUAUUUUGUUGGUUUCUAGGAUCGACGUAAUGAUUAAUAGGGAUAGUUGGGGGCAUUAGUAUUCAAUUGUCAGAGGUGAAAUUCUUGGAUUUAUUGAAGACUAACUACUGCGAAAGCAUUUGCCAAGGAUGUUUUCAUUAAUCAAGAACGAAAGUUAGGGGAUCGAAGACGAUCAGAUACCGUCGUAGUCUUAACCAUAAACUAUGCCGACUAGGGAUCGGAUGAUGUUAAUUUUUUAAUGACUCAUUCGGCGCCUUAC